AAAUCGGUAGACGCUACGGACUUAAAAUCCGUCGACUUUAGAAAUCGUGAGGGUUCAAGUCCCUCU
rnacentral:tRNA from 1 species